rnacentral:rRNA from 1 species
UGAAUUCCAGCGGCGGACGGGUGAGUAAUGCCUAGGAAUCUGCCUGGUAGUGGGGGACAACGUUUCGAAAGGAACGCUAAUACCGCAUACGUCCUACGGGAGAAAGUGGGGGAUCUUCGGACCUCACGCUAUCAGAUGAGCCUAGGUCGGAUUAGCUAGUUGGUGAGGUAAUGGCUCACCAAGGCGACGAUCCGUAACUGGUCUGAGAGGAUGAUCAGUCACACUGGAACUGAGACACGGUCCAGACUCCUACGGGAGGCAGCAGUGGGGAAUAUUGGACAAUGGGCGAAAGCCUGAUCCAGCCAUGCCGCGUGUGUGAAGAAGGUCUUCGGAUUGUAAAGCACUUUAAGUUGGGAGGAAGGGUUGUAGAUUAAUACUCUGCAAUUUUGACGUUACCGACAGAAUAAGCACCGGCUAACUCUGUG